AAGAGCCGUGUGCGGGAAAGCCGCACGCACGAUUAUGGAAAGGAGUUCACAUUGUAAGGUGUGAAUUUACUAAAC
rnacentral:autocatalytically_spliced_intron from 1 species